GACAGAAAACCCAGCAUAUAUACAGGCUCUGGGAAAGAAAUGACCGCCGGAGUCGGCGGGUGCUUCUUCGGGAAUCGUCUUAGCAAUGGACAACCUUCACGAACUUAGAUCGGCACCUUCCGAGACCGGAAAAAACAGCUGUAACCCACACACGCCUUCUCCUCAUCGUCUUGCUUAAUUUUCAACAAACCCUUCUUCCCUUUUCAGAAUGUUAAAAGAAGCAACUGUGAAAACUUCCCACAGCACAUUCCUCUCUAGUAUCUCCAGUUCACAUGCUUUCUGGGCUCAUCAGCACUGUCAACACCACGCGUACUGGAACCUCCUUCAGCAGAUCGUCACAAGGCGUAUAGGUCGACAAGACAAAAGUUUAUGAGAACAUUCUACUUGGGAAUAGGCGGUUUUGGGAAAAUGGGUUGGUGACUUCGUUUUUAUCCAAAGAGACGGAUAACAUGAAUUGGACAAGAUGGCCGGAAGGCAAAAAACUUCAACAUGGUUAGAAGGAAAGAUUCAUUUUUGGAGUAUGCAAAGGACUUAGAAAAAUGGUCGUUUUUCCUGUAAUUUUUUGUAAACAAGAUUUUGCUGGGGCCAUUUCAAGAAUUAAAUUACAUUUGUCUCGGGUUAGAGGCCGUGAUAUUCAAAUUUGUCUACAAGUACUUCAGUAAGUAGCACAACAAGCACUAUAAGCUAUUGAUACUCCCACUAAGAGAGCUAAAUCAGUGACAACAUCAAAUAAUAGUCUAGUGGCCUAGUGGGAGAAAGUAUUUCAGGUUCCUCAUCAUCGCAUAUGCCAAAUUUAUGUAAGGAACAAGAUACGAGUAAAGUGGAUAAACAAUUUGCCAGGCUAUUCAUC